CAGAGACAGAGAGCAAGUAGGAAGGGAGCGAAGAAGACUGAGCCUAGGAGAGGGAGAGGGAAGGAAGAGAAACUGACAUUAAGAAGAUAGCUGGAGACAAUUCAUUGCCAUCUCAAGAUGACCCGAAGCCCACAAUGCUCAGCAAUGCUGGAGUGAAGGAACGUCUUACUUUUGCUUGCCGCGUAGCUGCAUGUGGCUACAGUGUCCAUUUUGUCCCAGGCUACGGGUUAGGGAGAAGUAACAGGCUUCUCUACCAGGAGGAUACAAAUGAGGUCAAACUUACUGGGCGACUUAAAUUUCAUUGACUGCUUGGCCGGCUCACAUCUGCAGGACCUUCAGGCAUCCUUCACUGUAAGCUCCACGCCAUUUCUGGGACUCUCCAGACGUGUCUCUCAGGUGUGUAAGAACUAGCCCGCUGCCUGCCCUGCAGGUCUGCCUGUGCCCUGCCUAUCACCAGAAUGCCCUGCCUUCAGCUGCCAUGGCCUGGGAAGCUACACCUG